CCCUCCAGUUGCAGUGACUGCUGUCCAGAGAGGGCAGAGGGUCUUCUGGAAAGAACUCAGGGUGGAGCAUGAUGGAGAGCUUAGGAUGCUCUGGAAAUCUUAUGAAAUAAGCUGAGGAGAGCCUAUCAUGAACUAUAAUUGAUCUUGGGAAUUGAUGGCCCAAUAAAAGGAUACACGAAAUGUCA
rnacentral:lncRNA from 1 species